GAUAAACGCUGGCGGCGUGCCUAACACAUGCAAGUCGAACGUCCUUUCCCGGCAACGGGAGAGGGAGUGGCGGACGGGUGAGUAACACAUGGGUACCUGCCUUUCAGUGAGGAAUACCGGCGAGAAAUCGCCGACAAGACCGCAUGAGCUUGCCCCGUGAAAGGGGAGAAGCAAAGUUGCUUCGCGAGAGGCGACGCUGGAAGAAGGGCCUGUGGCCGAUUAGCUAGUUGGGGGGGUAACGGCCUCCCAAGGCUUCGAUCGGUAGCUGGUCUGAGAG
rnacentral:rRNA from 1 species